rnacentral:misc_RNA from 1 species
AAGUCGUAACAAGGUUUCCGUAGGUGAAGCGGAGGAUUAGGACGUAUCCAAACUAACCCCCUGUGAACCUUCAAUGUGCUCACACGCUGAGGCAAUCCUGGUAAAUCAUCGCCGAGCAGUUUUGAUUCUGCUGGGACUUCCUCAAAGCGUGUGCAUGUUGCGCGAGGCAAGCGGCUGGCAAUCCCAAACAGUUAAUGUCUGAAAGUGUAUUAGCUGCAAGGAUGACGCAGUAACGAUCGUUGGAGGCCGACACAGCGACGACGGGUCCCCGGGCGCAAGCCUUUAUCACCACUUGAUGCAUGACAGACAGCGCUUAAUUGUGCAGCGACCAAAAACCGAAUAACUGUUAACACAGAAUAUCUUGAUUCUCU